rnacentral:rRNA from 1 species
UACGUAGGCAGCGAGCGUUGUUCGGAGUUACUGGGCGUAAAGCGUGCGUAGGCGGUUGUCUAAGUUUGGUGUGAAAUCUCCUGGCUUAACUGGGAGGGUGCGCCGAAAACUGGGUGACUGGAGUGUCGGAGAGGUAAGCGGAAUUCCUGGUGUAGCGGUGAAAUGCGUAGAGAUCAGGAGGAACACCGGUGGCGAAGGCGGGUCUCUGGGCCGAUACUGACGCUGAGGAGCGAAAGCGUGGGGAGCGAACAGG